GCAGGCCUAACACAUGCAAGUCGAGCGGUAGAGAGAAGCUUGCUUCUCUUGAGAGCGGCGGACGGGUGAGUAAUGCCUAGGAAUCUGCCUGGUAGUGGGGGAUAACGUUCGGAAACGGACGCUAAUACCGCAUACGUCCUACGGGAGAAAGCAGGGGACCUUCGGGCCUUGCGCUAUCAGAUGAGCCUAGGUCGGAUUAGCUAGUUGGUGAGGUAAUGGCUCACCAAGGCGACGAUCCGUAACUGGUCUGAGAGGAUGAUCAGUCACACUGGAACUGAGACACGGUCCAGACUCCUACGGGAGGCAGCAGUGGGGAAUAUUGGACAAUGGGCGAAAGCCUGAUCCAGCCAUGCCGCGUGUGUGAAGAAGGUCUUCGGAUUGUAAAGCACUUUAAGUUGGGAGGAAGGGUUGUAGAUUAAUACUCUGCAAUUUUGACGUUACCGACAGAAUAAGCACCGGCUAACUCUGUGCCAGCAGCCGCGGUAAUACAGAGGGUGCAAGCGUUAAUCGGAAUUACUGGGCGUAAAGCGCGCGUAGGUGGUUUGUUAAGUUGGAUGUGAAAUCCCCGGGCUCAACCUGGGAACUGCAUUCAAAACUGACUGACUAGAGUAUGGUAGAGGGUGGUGGAAUUUCCUGUGUAGCGGUGAAAUGCGUAGAUAUAGGAAGGAACACCAGUGGCGAAGG
rnacentral:rRNA from 1 species